rnacentral:misc_RNA from 1 species
GGCCAAAGCCUUAAAAAACCAUUCACGCAUAUCGUAUUUGUAGUCUGCACGCUAGGUUGCUUCCAGAAAAGCCACACUGCCCACACACGCCUCUCUUUUCCUGCCUUUCACUGUCUAUCUCUCAAAACCCUAGCAACUCUUCCGCCAUGGAUAUUGAGGAGGAGAUUCGCUCAUUGCAGCUUGACUCUGCAGAAGAGAAUAAUGGAGUGAUUAAUGCAGAAGAUGCGAAGACGGAAGAAGUAGAGAAGUUGGAUAGAAUGGAGGAAGAUUCCAAAGAUGAUGUUAAUCUGAACUCUACAGAAGUGCAGGCUGAGUCAAAAGUGAAAGAUAAGGAAGUAUCUGCACUGGUAGAUGUUGAAACGCCAGACGAGAUGGAAGAAGACAAUAGGAAGCGGCACCUGAAUGUGGUUUCUAUUGGCCAUGUUGAUGCUGGCAAGUCCACAACAGGAGGCCAGAUACUUUUCCUAAGUGGUCAGGUUGAUGAUCGUACAAUCCAAAAAUAUGAGAAAGAAGCUAAGGACAAGAGUAGAGAAAGCUGGUACAUGGCAUAUAUUAUGGAUACUAAUGAAGAGGAGAGGGUUAAGGGUAAAACAGUUGAAGUGGGAAGAGCACAUUUUGAAACAGAGACAACUAGAUUUACAAUUUUAGAUGCACCGGGUCACAAGAGUUACGUUCCUAAUAUGAUUAGUGGAGCAUCUCAAGCUGAUGUUGGUGUACUGGUGAUUUCUGCUCGGAAAGGAGAAUUUGAAACUGGGUAUGAUAGAGGUGGGCAGACACGUGAGCAUGUUCAGCUUGCAAAGACAUUGGGUGUGUCUAAGCUUCUUGUUGUUGUAAAUAAAAUGGAUGAUCCCACUGUGAACUGGUCAAAAGAAAGGUAUGAUGAAAUUGAAUUAAAGAUGACGCCAUUUCUAAAGUCUUCAGGCUACAAUGUGAAGAAAGAUGUCCAGUUCCUACCAAUAUCUGGUCUGCUUGGUACAAAUAUGAAAAGUAGAAUGGAUAAAAGUGUGUGUUCAUGGUGGAAUGGUCCAUGUCUUUUUGAAGCUCUUGAUGCCAUUGAGGUUCCUCUACGAGAUCCAAAAGGUCCUCUCAGGAUGCCUAUUAUUGACAAAUUUAAAGAUAUGGGAACUGUAGUCAUGGGCAAAGUAGAAUCUGGUAGUGUGACUGAAGGCGAUUCCUUGCUGGUCAUGCCAAAUAAAAUUCAGGUGAAAGUUGUUGCUGUAUAUUGUGAUGAAAACAAGGUUCGACGUGCAGGGCCUGGAGAAAAUCUUCGUGUUAGAUUAUCUGGGAUUGAUGAUGAGGAUAUAUUAGCAGGUUUUGUCUUGUCAAGUGUUGGUAAGUUGUUCUGUUAAGUCUCUCUCUUGAAGUACCAAAUGAGGCCCUAUUCAUGUUGUUGUGAUGAGAAGCUAAAUUUGUCGGCAAGGAAUUUUGCCUUUUAUGCGUGUAUCUACAAGUCCAUUCAUCUGAAUAUGAAUAUUCUUUAUUUGGUUUGUGCUCCCAUACUGAUGUAUGGACAUAUUUUUAGGUCUGCUGAAACUUUUAUGUUAAUUCUUUGUGAUUUUAUUGUUUCACUGCACAGCAAAGCCAAUAGCUGCAGUUACAGAAUUUGUUGCUCAGUUGCAAAUCCUUGAAUUGCUGGACAAUGCAAUUUUUACAGCUGGCUAUAAAGCUGUUUUGCAUAUUCAUUCUGUAGUUGAGGAAUGUGAGAUUGUUGAACUGCUAAAACAAAUUGAUCCGAAGACAAAGAAACCUAUGAAAAAGAAAGUUCUCUUUGUGAAGAAUGGUGCUGUUAUUGUGUGCCGCGUUCAGGUAAAUAACUUGAUAUGCAUUGAGAAGUUUACAGAUUUUCCUCAACUCGGCAGGUUUACUCUUCGUACUGAGGGGAAAACGGUUGCAGUGGGGAAAGUGACUGACCUUUCUUCUGGUUCUACUUUUUAAACAAUUUUGGCGUUACAGGUAAUUAAGCAGUUACUUUUUUUUUUCUUUCUCUUGGUUAAAUUGUUAGGGUUCUAGUUUUCCUUGGGCAUGACUUCAUUGUACCAGUUGCCUGCUGGAUGCCAAGCGUUUAAGAUUGAGUCAUUUUGCUUAUUUUGCUGAAUUUGAGCCAGUUUGCUAAUGGCUGUGCAGUAAAUUGUGGACCAUUCCGGUAUUUAAUCCCUAUGCUUAAACCCUGCUUCCCAACCUACCCAACAUUUAAGUCAGGUUUUUCAUUGUAUGUGCCGCCAUCUUUAUUUGAUUUGUUUUAUGAACAUUACUGGCACUUAGCUAGUCUUACCUGUUUGUGAAAUCCGUGUUGCAUGGUAUUUUGUCACAUUAGAUACAAAUGUUAAUUGAGAUUUUGGGUUUCUACAUGUAUUGCUGUGCAAUUUUCAAACUUUUUCAUACAAUUUUUGACAUGCAGGCCGAGUAAAAAAGAAUAGCUUUUCUUUAUUGUGUACUUUGAGUGCCAGCACACACAUCUCGUACAAAUAUAUGGAUUCAGAUAAUUUUGCCGGUUCACUCCUCGUCUAGUCGUUGUAUGGAGAGUUGGUUAUUUUUGUUGCUGGUCGGUGUUCACAAAAUCCUGUUUUCUCAGGCAUUUAUGCUUUCAGAAUUCAGAUGUAUGAAUGUAGAGUAAUUAUACCCCCUAACUCAAUGGGUGAUGGUAUUAAUCAGUUUAUCUAUUCAAGCUUCUUCAAUAUGGUUUAAUUUUAGUGACAUGAUUACCUGAGUUUUGAAUGUAGCCGGGCACUGGAUAAGUGCCCGUUAAAAGUGUAUAAUUGGUUUCAAUUAUCGUUUUUGUUUUGAUUUUGCCAAGGAUGUCGAGCAUCUCUCUUUACCAAGUAUGUUUUGCAAGUGUUUUCACCGGCACUAUUUGCGUUCCGUUGAGGUGCAUUUGGUCAGGUGCUGGUAUGUUUGGAAUGAUAAAAUUGAUCAAGAGUAUUGUUGUCACCAAUUUUUAUAUACUUGUGAAAAAAAAAAAAAUCAUAUUGCUAUGGUAUUAUUGAAUUGAGUUGAACGGUUGAGGCAAGAAUUUGAGACACUGUGAGAUGGGUUUACUUGGGCUAAAAUUAAUUAUUGCUAAGAGGUAAAACUAAUCAAUUAAGUAGGUGGAUCUAGGUUGCUUUU